rnacentral:rRNA from 1 species
UACGUAGGGGGCAAGCGUUGUCCGGAAUCAUUGGGCGUAAAGCGCGUGUAGGCGGCCCGAUAAGUCCGCUGUGAAAGUCCAGGGCUCAACCCUGGAAUGCCGGUGGAUACUGUCGGGCUCGAGUCCGGAAGAGGCGAGUGGAAUUCCUGGUGUAGCGGUGAAAUGCGCAGAUAUCAGGAGGAACACCAAUGGCGAAGGCAGCUCGCUGGGACGGUACUGACGCUGAGACGCGAAAGCCAGGGGAGCGAACGGG